ensembl:lncRNA
GAAUCUAUGUGGGUUUAUAAACAAGUGACCAAAUGGAUUUGGUGCCUCCCCAAAAUUAAAAAGAGAAUUUGGAAAUAUAACUCAAGGUGUUUGAUCUAAAUUCCAAGGCUGUCAAAAUUAUUAUUUUUGGUUUGGUUGGUUACAUCCUAAACCCUGGAAUUGGCUGGCUGUAGAGCACAGCAGCCACUAGUUUUUGGCUGCUAAGAAUCUAGUCUCCCUUGUUACUUGGAAGAAAUCUUCGUGGAAAGAUGGGCUGUACUUCUCCCUGAAGAAGCCAGAGGGGCCCAAGCAUCUUUCCUAGCCCGGAAAGAAUGUGGCCACGUGACCCAGGAUUGGCCUUGGCCUUUGAAUCCACAGGAAGUAGUAGUUGUUCAUGACAUCUAUACUAUUUUAAUAAGAUAGACUGGGAGUGUCAGGGUAGGGGAAAUGACUGCCCUUGGUAAAAAGAAAGGAUCUUGCAGGAUAGACUUUGAUGUGUGCAUGUGGCAUGUGUAUAGUAUGUGGUGUGUGUGAGUAUGUGUGCAUGCAUGCAUGUGCUUGUGUUUGCUUGACAGAAGGACUUCUAGUGUCAUACCUUGGGGUAUGGGUGAUGGUGAGACAAAGAAAAUAGAGACAGUAGGACCAGAAGAGACUCUGUAUCUGCUCUAAUAUUGAUAUACUAUGGUAAGACAAGGGCUGGGUCCAGUGACACAAAAGGCAAACAUAUUUAACAAUAACAAUUAAGAUAUCUUAUAUUUUUAACACUUCAUAUGUGCCAAGUCCUGUGCUGAGGAAUUAGCGUGAAUUAUCUCAAUUAAUACUCAUUAACAUAUGUGAUGUAGCCUGUUUUUACCCCCAUUUCACAGCAUCAGUCGUGACUGUUCUAUUGCCUAAUUCAGGGGUCAUUUCUAAGUCCUCAUUUUGCUGUUUAACCUCUCCUUUGGAUGUUUGCCUACUUUGUUUUCCAGGACACCAUGUUCUUCUAGUUCCUGCUUUCUGGCCGUUGUUCUAUUUCCUUUGUGGUCUACACUCUGCUCUUAUCAUGUAUGUGGGGUUCCAUCCUAAGCCUUCACACUCUCUGUAAAUGAUCCCAUAAUUUAUAGUACCACCUAUACAUUAAUGAUGCUCAAGAGUAGAAAUGUCAGUUACUAUUCUUGAAUGGUUUCUAUGUUCCAGGAUUUUUUCUAAGUAGUUUAGAUGUAAUAAUUCACUUGAUGUUCAACACCAUGAGGUAAUUCCUAUUAUUCUGAUUUAAUAGGAUGAAGAAACUGAGGUACUGAGGCUGCUCAUGGUCACAAGCUCCUAAGUGGUGGAGACAGAAUUCUAACCAGGGGGUUCGGCUCAAGAGCCUGGGUAAAGGACCCGAGGUGGAGGGUCCUCUUUAAGAAAGAGAACACAAAAUUGCAAAUGAAAAUUAAGUAGAAAAGUGAAUAUUAAGAAUGAGAAAAGAAAUCAUAACAAAUUAUAAAUUCGAAAUCGGUAAUAGAGGUUUCCACUUUUGGUUAAGGUGGAAUAACAGAGACCACAUCUUACCUGAAACAGUCAAAAACAACAUCCAAAAAAGUGGAAAGAAUAUAUAAUCCAGUGAUUUUUCAAGACAGUGGUUAUCAAGUAACAAAAGACAGUGAUCAAAGAAAUAAGAAAUAAAUAAAAUAAAUCUUAUAAUUACCCUUACUUUAUUGAGCAUUUCCAGGCUGUAAUGCAAAGAAGAAAAUUCCAAAUGGAACCUGGUGGACUCCCUGAAUUGAACGGGCUGAACUGAGAGUCUGUGAAGUCCAAAGCAGCGAGAGUUCAUAGACAGACUACUGGGGAGGAA